CCUAGGGUGGCUGCAGUGGGGAAUAUUGGACAAUGGGCGAAAGCCUGAUCCAGCCAUGCCGCGUGUGUGAAGAAGGCCUUCGGGUUGUAAAGCACUUUCAGUGGGGAAGAAAGCCUUGGGGCUAAUACCCUCGAGGAAGGACAUCACCCACAGAAGAAGCACCGGCUAACUCCGUGCCAGCAGCCGCGGUAAUACGGAGGGUGCGAGCGUUAAUCGGAAUUACUGGGCGUAAAGCGCGCGUAGGCGGUCUGAUAAGCCGGUUGUGAAAGCCCCGGGCUCAACCUGGGAACGGCAUCCGGAACUGUCAGGCUAGAGGGCAGGAGAGGAAGGUAGAAUUCCCGGUGUAGCGGUGAAUUGCGUAGAGAUCGGGAGGAAUACCAGUGGCGAAGGCGGCCUUCUGGACUGACACUGACGCUGAGGUGCGAAAGCGUGGGUAGCAAACAGGAUUAGAUACCCGAGUAGUC
rnacentral:rRNA from 1 species